rnacentral:rRNA from 1 species
UACGUAGGGUCCGAGCGUUGUCCGGAAUUAUUGGGCGUAAAGAGCUCGUAGGCGGUCUGUCGCGUCUGCUGUGAAAACCUGGGGCUUAACCCCGGGCCUGCAGUGGGUACGGGCAGACUAGAGUGUGGUAGGGGAGACUGGAAUUCCUGGUGUAGCGGUGAAAUGCGCAGAUAUCAGGAGGAACACCGGUGGCGAAGGCGGGUCUCUGGGCCGAUACUGACGCUGAGGAGCGAAAGCGUGGGGAGCGAACAGG